AUGAGGUCACACUCUCUGCUCAUCUGUGUGCUGGUUUUCUGUAUGAAGGGUACCAAUGGGGACAUUGUGAUGACCCAGACUCCAGAAUCCCUGGCAGUGUCUCCAGGAGACAGAGUCACCAUCAACUGCAAAGCCAGUUCCAGUGUUAGCAGCUAUCUAGCCUGGUACCAACAGAAAUCAGGACAAGCUCCUAAGCUCCUCAUCUACUACGCUUCCACCCGUCAAUCUGGGGUCCCAGACCGGUUCAGCGGCAGUGGGUCUGGCACCGACUUCACAUUCACCAUCAGCCGGGUUGAAGUGGAUGAGUAUGAUGAGACUCCUCUCACACUGUGA